GACGAACGCUGGCGGCGUGCUUAACACAUGCAAGUCGAACGGAAAGGCCUCUUUCUUGGGGUACUCUAGUGGGGAACGGGUGAGUGACACACGAGUGACCUGCCCCCGUCUCUGGGAGAACUUCGGGCAACAGGGGGUAAUACCGGAUAGAAGCUCUUGUGGCACGGUGGGGGUUGGAGAGCUUCGGGGCGUGGGGGUGGACUCGCGGCUUAUCAGCGUGUUUGUGGGGUGUUGGCUUAGCAAGGCUUUGACAGGGAGACGGCCUGUGAGGGGGACCCGCCACAUUGGGACUGGGAUACGGCCCAGACUCCCACGGGGGGGAGGAGUGGGGAAUAUUGCAAAAUGGGUGGAAGCCUGAUGCAGCAACGCCGGGUGCGGGAUGACGGCCUUCGGGGUGGAAACCGCUUUCGCUCAUGACGAAGCUGUGUGUGGCGGUAGUGGGUAAAGAAGCACCGGCUAACUACGUG
rnacentral:rRNA from 1 species